rnacentral:rRNA from 1 species
GAUGAACGCUGGCUACAGGCUUAACACAUGCAAGUCGAGGGGAAACGACGGGGAAGCUUGCUUCCCCGGGCGUCGACCGGCGCACGGGUGAGUAACGCGUAUCCAACCUGCCUCUGACUGAGGGAUAACCCGUCGAAAGUCGGCCUAAUACCUCAUGGCAUCGUCUGCGGGCAUCCAACGACGAUUAAAGAUUUCAUCGGUCAGGGAUGGGGAUGCGUCUGAUUAGCUUGUUGGCGGGGUAACGGCCCACCAAGGCUACGAUCAGUAGGGGUUCUGAGAGGAAGGUCCCCCACAUUGGAACUGAGACACGGUCCAAACUCAUACGGGAGGCAGCAGUGAGGAAUAUUGGUCAAUGGGCGGGAGCCUGAACCAGCCAAGUAGCGUGCAGGAUGACGGCCCUAUGGGUUGUAAACUGCUUUUAUGCGGGGAUAAAGUGAGGGACGUGUCCUUCAUUGCAGGUACCGCAUGAAUAAGGACCGGCUAAUUCCGUG